rnacentral:tRNA from 2 species
GAUUCGGUAGCUCAGUUGGUAAAGCACGCGUCUAGCAUACAAGAAUCGUGGGCUCGAAUCCCACCUGAGCA